UGUGAGCUCGAUGAGUAGGGCGGGACACGUGGUAUCCUGUCUGAAUAUGGGGGGACCAUCCUCCAAGGCUAAAUACUCCUGACUGACCGAUAGUGAACCAGUACCGUGAGGGAAAGGCGAAAAGAACCCCGGCGAGGGGAGUGAAAAAGAACCUGAAACCGUGUACGUACAAGCAGUGGGAGCACAGGUUUACCUGUGUGACUGCGUACCUUUUGUAUAAUGGGUCAGCGACUUAUAUUCUGUAGCAAGGUUAACCGAAUAGGGGAGCCGGAGGGAAACCGAGUCUUAAUUGGGCGUUAAGUUGCAGGGUAUAGACCCGAAACCCGGUGAUCUAGCCAUGGGCAGGUUGAAGGUUGGGUAACACUAACUGGAGGACCGAACCGACUAAUGUUGAAAAAUUAGCGGAUGACCUGUGGCUGGGGGUGAAAGGCCAAUCAAACCGGGAGAUAGCUGGUUCUCCCCGAAAGCUAUUUAGGUAGCGCCUCGUGAAUUCAUCUCCGGGGGUAGAGCACUGUUUCGGCUAGGGGGCCAUCCCGGCUUACCAACCCGAUGCAAACUGCGAAUACCGGAGAAUGUUAUCACGGGAGACACACGGCGGGUGCUAACGUCCGUCGUGAAGAGGGAAACAACCCAGACCGCCAGCUAAGGUCCCAAAGUCAUGGUUAAGUGGGAAACGAUGUGGGAAGGCCCAGACAGCCAGGAUGUUGGCUUAGAAGCAGCCAUCAUUUAAAGAAAGCGUAAUAGCUCACUGGUCGAGUCGGCCUGCGCGGAAGAUGUAACGGGGCUAAACCAU
rnacentral:rRNA from 1 species